rnacentral:misc_RNA from 1 species
UGGGCAACAAGAGCGAAACUCCGUCUCAAAAAACAAAAAGAAAAACAAAUCAGCCGGGGGUGGUGGCGCGCGGCUGUAAUCCCAGCUACUCUGGAGACUGAGGUCCAGGGUGGCGCGUGGCUGCUGAGCCCCCGCCUGUGCGACGCCCUCAUGGCCAUGGACGUCAUGCUGUGCACCGCCUCCAUCUUCAACCUGUGCGCCAUCAGCGUGGACAGGUUCGUGGCCGUGGCCGUGCCGCUGCGCUACAACCGGCAGGGUGGGAGCCGCCGGCAGCUGCUGCUCAUCGGCGCCACGUGGCUGCUGUCCGCGGCGGUGGCGGCGCCCGUACUGUGCGGCCUCAACGACGUGCGCGGCCGCGACC